GGUGAAGAAGCAGAGACACGUGGAAGAGUGUUUAUUCCUCAGGCCGCUAAGCAGCUGCAGAGGCUGGAGGUCCGAGAUCGAGGUGUCGGCCGAGUUUGCUUCUUCUGAGGACUGAGAGAGAAUCUGCCCAUCUCGGUCCCCAGGGUUCUGGUGGUCUGCAGGCAAGCUUUGGCAUCCCUUGGCUUGUAGAUCUCGGCCUUCAUCUUCACAAGGCCACGUGAGGCCCACGGAUCUCCGGGGAGAUGAAGUUCUGCUGCCUGUCCUUCCGGCAGCCUUAUGCAGGUUUUGUCUUAAAUGGGGUCAAGACUCUGGAGACUCGUUGGCGUCCUUUGCUGAGCAGCCACCGGCACUGUACCAUCGCCGUCCACAUUGCUCACAGGGACUGGGAAGAUGCCGCCUGGAGGGAACUGCUGCUGCAGAGGCUGGGGAGGAGCCCUGCUCAGAUUCAGGCCUUGCUCCGGGAAGGGGAGAAGUAUGGCCGUG